rnacentral:rRNA from 1 species
GACGAACGCUAGCGGCAGGCUUAAUACAUGCAAGUCGAACGGCAAGGGCAGCAAUGCCCCUAGAGUGGCGCACGGGUGCGUAACGCGUAUUCAACGUACUUCAUAGUCGGGGAUAGCCUUUGGAAACGAAGAUUAAUACCCGAUGGAGCAGGGACUCCCGCAUGGGGGAUAUUGCUAAAGAUUUAUCGCUAUGAAAUCGGGAUGCGUCCCAUUAGCUGGUUGGUGGGGUAACGGCCUACCAAAGCGACGAUGGGUAACUGGUCUGAGAGGAUGAUCAGUCACACGGACACUGAGACACGGGUCCGACUCCUACGGGAGGCAGCAGUAAGGAAUAUUGGACAAUGGACGCAAGUCUGAUCCAGC